GUUCCAUGAUGACAUAGCAGCCUCCCCUGUGACUUCAUCACAGCACCAUUGUGAUUUGUGUCCGUGUGGCAGUGAAAUUCAUGCAGCUGGUUCAGCAUGGCUCCUGAGGUGUCUGUGGUAGCAUUUCUGAGUGAGAAUUGCAUGUGGUUACAGCCACACGCACGCACUCCAGGGUGAGGGUGGCAUCCCAGGAACUGGGGUCUGGAUAGAGUGGGUGGUGCAGGAAGGGAAGAUCAGCCCCGCCACCUGUUUGGCUAGGGUGUGACUGUGUCUCCUGCUCUUGGCACUCGCCCCCACCACUCAGUCCUUGAGACCCAGACUGGGGUCUUCAUCAGCCACUCCCUGUUCUCGGGAUGUCACACAUACCACGGCCUCUUCCAGCACUCCAGCUUGCAGACGGCACGUCAUGGAGCUACACAGCCUCUGUGAUUGCAUGAGUGCAUUACUGUAAUGAAUAUCAUUCUUGAAUUGAGAAGUAGGAAGAUGAUAGAUGAUUAAUUGAUAAUCAAGUUAGGUGAUAGAUAAAUGAUACAUAGAUGAUAGGUAGAUACAUUGAUAGACAAAAGAUGGUGAUGAACAGGUCUCAGAUGUCGGCCCCAUCUCUUGGGCCUGUGAUGAAAAGGACAUCACAGCUGAAGAAACACAAGAGCAGAGCAGCUUGCCUUGUAGCAUCGGGAGACUGGGGAAGAGCAGAAGGGAGCCAGAGCAAGCUACACCCACAGAGACACGCUCCUAGGCAAAGACGUACUUCCUUCAACCGGGCUUCACCUUUCACAGCUCUGCCUCCUUCAGUAGCCAACUUAGAUGUUGAAGUCAUCAAUGGACAUUGGAAACGUUUUUUCCCCCAACCCCCUUUGGCUUUUAUUAAGAUAGGGCAUCAUUAUGUCUCUUUCACCGUCCUGGAACUCACUCUGUAGACAAGGCUGGCCUCGAACUCACAGAGAUCUGCCUGCUUCUGCCUCCUGAGUGUUGAGAUUAAAGACAUGUUUCUGCCUG